GAUGAACGCUGGCGGCGUGCUUAACACAUGCAAGUCGAACGAAGCACUUUAUUUGAUUUCCUUCGGGACUGAUUAUUUUGUGACUGAGUGGCGGACGGGUGAGUAACGCGUGGGUAACCUGCCUUGUACAGGGGGAUAACAGUUGGAAACGGCUGCUAAUACCGCAUAAGCGCACAGCAUCGCAUGAUGCAGUGUGAAAAACUCCGGUGGUAUAGGAUGGACCCGCGUUGGAUUAUCUGGUUGGUGAGGUAACGGCCCACCAAGGCGACGAUCCAUAGCCGACCUGAGAGGGUGACCGGACACAUUGGGACUGAGACACGGCCCAAACUCCUACGGGAGGCAGCAGUGGGGAAUAUUGCACAAUGGGCGAAAGGCUGAUGCAGCGACGCCGCGUGAGCGAAGAAGUAUUUCGGUAUGUAAAGCUCUAUCAGCAGGGAAGAUAAUGACGGUACCUGACUAAGAAGCACCGGCUAAAUACGUG
rnacentral:rRNA from 1 species